rnacentral:rRNA from 1 species
GUUUCCGUAGGUGAACCUGCUGCUGGAUCAUUACAUUCUACGCCAAAAUGUAAUUGGUCAAUUUCAUUCACCACACACCAUACAUAAUAACAUCAGUGCACGUGUGUGUGUGUGCUGUGUGUGUGUGUGUGUGUGUGUAAGAGCACUCCGCUUGGCAGGGAGUGCAAGUUGUCUGGUGCGCAGUACGCAUUUUGAUGCUCCUAUGUCAUGCGUGUCGGCACACAGAUGGCGCUACCAUCCGCUCAACCAUUCGAUGAGUGGUUACACCAUGACUAUAUGGUGGCAUUUGCAUUGGAGCGGUCAAGAAAACGGCUUCUGCUGGCGUCUGUGCGUUGUUGAGCAGUCGUAUUCGUCCGUGGCUGUGAUGAGACAACGUGGUAGGGCCUGUGCUGGAGUUGGCACAUGGCUUAAGACUUGAUGAGCCCGCGCAAUUAGUCCCAGGGCCGCCAGCACCCAAUUUUUCAAAUACAUUUUUUUUCAAUGCGAAAGCAUUAAACCAAGAAAAAUUCUAGUCUUAUCGGUGGAUCACUCGGCUCGUAGGUCGAUGAAGAACGCAGCUAACUGCGAUAAAUAGUGUGAACUGCAGAAACCUCGAACACAAAAGCUUCGAAUGCACAUUGCACCAUGGGAGUCUUAUCCCUUGGUACGCCUGGUUCAGGGUCGUAAACCAAAAACGCAAGUAAAAUGCGUUGAGUGAGGAGAGGUGUGUUUCUCUCCUCGCUCUAUUGUGAUAGGUUCACUCGACACACACUUUUGCAGUGUUCCUAUAAUUCAAUUUGCUAAGAGGCCGCACUGGCGUGUAGUUGGAUGGAAGCUUGAGCUUUGAAUGUGGACAUUCAAACGUAUAGCUCGUGGACAUCGGGGACAUACCAUCCCCUCGAAUCACUACUGGCUGUGUCUGGCAACUUACACACACAAACACAACAGCAAAUGCGUAAUUGAUUUGCACCAUGUGUGUGAAGUGUGUCUCAUUUUUCGACCUGAACUCAGACGUGAAUACCCGCUGAACUUAAGCAUAU